GAUGAACGCUGGCGGCGUGCCUAAUACAUGCAAGUCGAGCGAAUGGAUUAAGAGCUUGCUCUUAUGAAGUUAGCGGCGGACGGGUGAGUAACACGUGGGUAACCUGCCCAUAAGACUGGGAUAACUCCGGGAAACCGGGGCUAAUACCGGAUAACAUUUUGAACCGCAUGGUUCGAAAUUGAAAGGCGGCUUCGGCUGUCACUUAUGGAUGGACCCGCGUCGCAUUAGCUAGUUGGUGAGGUAACGGCUCACCAAGGCAACGAUGCGUAGCCGACCUGAGAGGGUGAUCGGCCACACUGGGACUGAGACACGGCCCAGACUCCUACGGGAGGCAGCAGUAGGGAAUCUUCCGCAAUGGACGAAAGUCUGACGGAGCAACGCGGCGUGAGUGAUGAAGGCUUUCGGGUCGUAAAACGCUGUUGUUAGGGAAGAACAAGUGCUAGUUGAAUAAGCUGGCACCUUGACGGUACCUAACCAGAAAGCCACGGCUAACUACGUGCCAGCCGCCGCCGUAA
rnacentral:rRNA from 1 species